rnacentral:rRNA from 1 species
UACGAAGGGGGCUAGCGUUGUUCGGAAUUACUGGGCGUAAAGCGUAUGCAGGCGGACUUUUAAGUCGGGGGUGAAAUCCCGAGGCUCAACCUCGGAACUGCCUUCGAUACUGGAAGUCUUGAGUCCGGGAGAGGUGAGUGGAACUCCGAGUGUAGAGGUGAAAUUCGUAGAUAUUCGGAAGAACACCAGUGGCGAAGGCGGCUCACUGGCCCGGUACUGACGCUGAGGAGCGAAAGCAUGGGGAGCGAACAGG